GCACAAAGGUGGUGUCCUUUUUCUGAAGGCAUCUCCAUUCCUUUGAGAGGAAACUUAAUUUGAAUUCUUAGAAGUGAUUUGUGGUGUUGCGUCACUGCGAUGUUGUGUUGUUAACUUAGUUUGUUUCCAGUUCUUUUGUGUGUGUGUGUAGAGCGAAAGUGAUUUAUUCACUUGUAUGCCAGUGGUAUAUCGGGUGCACAGCUAGUGAAUGGAGAGCACAGGCACAGACACAGGCAAGCACGUGAUGUGCCUCAGCACAGAUAAAAAUAAGAUAUCCCCAGGCAUCUUUGCUCCAGAGCACAACAGAAGAAGUGUCACGGCAAUGAAGACUGCUUAUCGAUCAAAUGAAACAAGCCAAAAGAAAACAAGCUGUGUUUCUGCAACAAAUAAGCUUACGUAUUUUGUAUGCUCAUUACCAAUCAAAGAUCCAAAGCAAAACUUCAAUUGGAACAUGAUGUUAUGGUCAAAUGAGACCAAAAUCAGUCACACACACCAGAAGUGUCGUCAGCAUCAGAAGAUGGACACUUAAAUAGAGAAUGACUUCUACUAAACCUACAGUUACUGUAAGUCUUACAUUCAAUUCCCAGUUGUAUAAAAGAGUCGUUAGUCAUUGUAAAAUUAAAAAUUGUAUCAAUUUUUCAAUAGAUAAAGGCUCCAAAGAAGUACAUGCCAUGUGAUGUACAAUGCAAAAGCAAUGGAAAUACUGGAUUUAAUGUAGUAGGGCAGAUUUGUAAGUCUGCAUUUUUUUCCUGAACACUAGUUGAACAGCAAGAUUGAUUGAAGAAGCAGUUACUAUUUUCCUGCAAAAACAUCUUUCACCACAUUAUGAAAGGGCUUAGUCAACAAUGUAUAUUAGCAUUCAUUUCAAGGACAUAUUUUCAUUUGGUAAAAAGGACAAAAAGGAGUUUUCUUCACACAAUCUGUCCACUGUGCUUUGAAUUCCACAUUCAAUGGGAGGCCUCCCACUUACUGCAGAUGCACAAUGACAGGCAUUCUCUGGCUUAUAGGUAAGAGUCUUCACACCCCAAAUGAGAGCUCUGCUGGUUAAAAAAAGCAUUUGUCACUUUACAGACGGUAGC